rnacentral:rRNA from 1 species
GACGGAAGGUGCAAGCGUUGUUCGGAUUCAUUGGGCGUAAAGGGUGCGUAGGUGGCGCCGUAAGUCGGGGUGUGAAAUUUCGGAGCUUAACUCCGAAACUGCAUUCGAUACUGCGGUGCUUGAGGACUGGAGAGGAGACUGGAAUUUAUGGUGUAGCAGUGAAAUGCGUAGAGAUCAUAAGGAAGACCAGUGGCGAAGGCGGGUCGUCUGGACAGUUCCUGACACUGAGGCACGAAGGCCAGGGGAGCAAACGGG